GGUUAAGCGACUAAGCGUACACGGUGGAUGCCCUGGCAGUCAGAGGCGAUGAAGGACGUGCUAAUCUGCGAAAAGCGCCGGCGAGGUGAUAUGAACCUUUGACCCGGCGAUGUCCGAAUGGGGAAACCCAGUGCAAUUCGUUGCACUAUCGUUAACUGAAUACAUAGGUUAACGAGGCGAACCGGGGGAACUGAAACAUCUAAGUACCCCGAGGAAAAGAAAUCAACCGAGAUUCCCCCAGUAGCGGCGAGCGAACGGGGAGCAGCCCAGAGUCUGAAUCAGCUUGUGUGUUAGUGGAAGCGUCUGGAAAGUCGCACGGUACAGGGUGACAGUCCCGUACACGAAAAUGCACAGGUUGUGAACUCGAAGAGUAGGGCGGGACACGUGGUAUCCUGUCUGAAUAUGGGGGGACCAUCCUCCAAGGCUAAAUACUCCUGACUGACCGAUAGUGAACCAGUACCGUGAGGGAAAGGCGAAAAGAACCCCGGCGAGGGGAGUGAAAAAGAACCUGAAACCGUGUACGUACAAGCAGUGGGAGCACCUUCGUGGUGUGACUGCGUACCUUUUGUAUAAUGGGUCAGCGACUUAUAUUCUGUAGCAAGGUUAACCGUAUAGGGGAGCCGAAGGGAAACCGAGUCUUAACUGGGCGUUAAGUUGCAGGGUAUAGACCCGAAACCCGGUGAUCUAGCCAUGGGCAGGUUGAAGGUUGGGUAACACUAACUGGAGGACCGAACCGACUAAUGUUGAAAAAUUAGCGGAUGACUUGUGGCUGGGGGUGAAAGGCCAAUCAAACCGGGAGAUAGCUGGUUCUCCCCGAAAGCUAUUUAGGUAGCGCCUCGUGAACUCAUCUUCGGGGGUAGAGCACUGUUUCGGCUAGGGGGCCAUCCCGGCUUACCAACCCGAUGCAAACUACGAAUACCGAAGAAUGUUAUCACGGGAGACACACGGCGGGUGCUAACGUCCGUCGUGAAGAGGGAAACAACCCAGACCGCCAGCUAAGGUCCCAAAGUCAUGGUUAAGUGGGAAACGAUGUGGGAAGGCACAGACAGCCAGGAUGUUGGCUUAGAAGCAGCCAUCAUUUAAAGAAAGCGUAAUAGCUCACUGGUCGAGUCGGCCUGCGCGGAAGAUGUAACGGGGCUAAACCAUGCACCGAAGCUGCGGCAGCGACACUAUGUGUUGUUGGGUAGGGGAGCGUUCUGUAAGCCGUUGAAGGUGUGCUGUGAGGCAUGCUGGAGGUAUCAGAAGUGCGAAUGCUGACAUAAGUAACGAUAAAGCGGGUGAAAAGCCCGCUCGCCGGAAGACCAAGGGUUCCUGUCCAACGUUAAUCGGGGCAGGGUGAGUCGACCCCUAAGGCGAGGCCGAAAGGCGUAGUCGAUGGGAAACAGGUUAAUAUUCCUGUACUUGGUGUUACUGCGAAGGGGGGACGGAGAAGGCUAUGUUAGCCGGGCGACGGUUGUCCCGGUUUAAGCAUGUAGGCGGAGGUUCCAGGUAAAUCCGGUACCUUUUAACGCUGAGGUGUGAUGACGAGGCACUACGGUGCUGAAGUAACAAAUGCCCUGCUUCCAGGAAAAGCCUCUAAGCAUCAGGUAACAUCAAAUCGUACCCCAAACCGACACAGGUGGUCAGGUAGAGAAUACCAAGGCGCUUGAGAGAACUCGGGUGAAGGAACUAGGCAAAAUGGUGCCGUAACUUCGGGAGAAGGCACGCUGAUAUGUAGGUGAAGCCCCUGCGGGUGGAGCUGAAAUCAGUCGAAGAUACCAGCUGGCUGCAACUGUUUAUUAAAAACACAGCACUGUGCAAACACGAAAGUGGACGUAUACGGUGUGACGCCUGCCCGGUGCCGGAAGGUUAAUUGAUGGGGUUAGCGGCAACGCGAAGCUCUUGAUCGAAGCCCCGGUAAACGGCGGCCGUAACUAUAACGGUCCUAAGGUAGCGAAAUUCCUUGUCGGGUAAGUUCCGACCUGCACGAAUGGCGUAAUGAUGGCCAGGCUGUCUCCACCCGAGACUCAGUGAAAUUGAACUCGCUGUGAAGAUGCAGUGUACCCGCGGCAAGACGGAAAGACCCCGUGAACCUUUACUAUAGCUUGACACUGAACACUGGUCCUUGAUGUGUAGGAUAGGUGGGAGGCUUUGAAGUGUGGACGCCAGUCUGCAUGGAGCCGUCCUUGAAAUACCACCCUUUAAUGGCUGGUGUUCUAACGUAGACCCGUAAUCCGGGUUGCGGACAGUGUCUGGUGGGUAGUUUGACUGGGGCGGUCUCCUCCCAAAGAGUAACGGAGGAGCACGAAGGUUAGCUAAUCCUGGUCGGACAUCAGGAGGUUAGUGCAAUGGCAUAAGCUAGCUUGACUGCGAGAGUGACGGCUCGAGCAGGUGCGAAAGCAGGUCAUAGUGAUCCGGUGGUUCUGAAUGGAAGGGCCAUCGCUCAACGGAUAAAAGGUACUCCGGGGAUAACAGGCUGAUACCGCCCAAGAGUUCAUAUCGACGGCGGUGUUUGGCACCUCGAUGUCGGCUCAUCACAUCCUGGGGCUGAAGUAGGUCCCAAGGGUAUGGCUGUUCGCCAUUUAAAGUGGUACGCGAGCUGGGUUUAGAACGUCGUGAGACAGUUCGGUCCCUAUCUGCCGUGGGCGCUGGAGAAUUGAGGGGGGCUGCUCCUAGUACGAGAGGACCGGAGUGGACGCAUCACUGGUGUUCGGGUUGUCAUGCCAAUGGCACUGCCCGGUAGCUAAAUGCGGAAAAGAUAAGUGCUGAAAGCAUCUAAGCACGAAACUUGCCCCGAGAUGAGUUCUCCCUGAGACUUUAAGUCUCCUGAAGGAACGUUGAAGACGACGACGUUGAUAGGUCGGGUGUGUAAGCGCAGCGAUGCGUUGAGCUAACCGAUACUAAUGAACCGUGAGGCUUAACCUU
rnacentral:rRNA from 1 species